rnacentral:rRNA from 1 species
AUUGAACGCUGGCGGCAGGCCUAACACAUGCAAGUCGAACGGCAGCACAGAAGAGCUUGCUCUUUGGGUGGCGAGUGGCGGACGGGUGAGUAACACGUAGGAAUCUACCCAGUAGUGGGGGAUAACCUGGGGAAACCCAGGCUAAUACCGCAUACGCCCUGAGGGGGAAAGCGGGGGAUCUUCGGACCUCGCGCUAUUGGAUGAGCCUGCGUCGGAUUAGCUAGUUGGUGGGGUAAGGGCCCACCAAGGCGACGAUCCGUAGCUGGUCUGAGAGGAUGACCAGUCACACCGGAACUGAGACACGGUCCGGACUCCUACGGGAGGCAGCAGUGGGGAAUAUUGGACAAUGGGCGCAAGCCUGAUCCAGCCAUGCCGCGUGGGUGAAGAAGGCCUCGG